GCAGCAUACGCCGAGCCGGUCUUUGAGCGCUAACGUCUUUCUGUCUCCCCGCGGUGGUGAUGACGGUGAAAACUGAGGCUGCUAAGGGCACCCUCACUUACUCCAGGAUGAGGGGCAUGGUGGCAAUUCUCAUCGCUUUCAUGAAGCAGAGGAGGAUGGGUCUGAACGACUUUAUUCAGAAGAUUGCCAAUAACUCCUAUGCAUGCAAACAGUAAGUUUGACCGGAUUUGAGGAAAUAACUAGUAUAGUUUGAAUUUGCCAGCGGUAAACAUUCUCAUCACGGCGUUUAUCGGGAAGGCGAAGACUUCUUCUGGGGUGGGGAUCUCAUUUCUCCUUAAAUUCUAAUAUAUUUGACACAUUUUAAACAUUAAAGUUAAUUUGCUGAUUUGGCUUGAACUGGAGAUGUAAGAUAAAUGGUUCGUGUUGGCCGAAUUCACGGCCUUUCUCCAUGAGCAACAAUCCUUAUUUCUGUAUUUAAUGGGGUUUAUUAUUUUCUUUAACUGACUAAUGUAUUGGGGUAUUUUCAGUUUAAACAGUGAAUUAUCCGGGUAGAAGUCGGUAGAGCCAGAAACUCACUUUUGAUGUUGGUGUGCCCCCUAGUGGCGAGCUGGAUUCUAAAUCGUGCCCUUUAUUCCCUGCAGCCCUGAAGUUCAGUCCAUCUUGAAGAUCUCCCAACCUCAGGAGCCUGAGCUUAUGAAUGCCAACCCUUCUCCUCCAGUAAGUUUUUGUAUGUGCCGUGCAUCUGUGGAGAACUGUAAGGGAGUCAGUUAGUAUUCCUACAUUAAUGGAUUAAAAUAGCAUUUCUAGAAAUUAGUAUCAAGGCAGGAAUGCUUCAUUAUGGCAUAACAAGUGAUAUAAAUAUUUAAGUAUUGAGUCAGAGUAUUAUUUUAUUUUUUUCCUGGGCAUAUUUUACCUCCAAAGUGGUUAUUUUAAAAGGCAUAUUUCAUAAAAAGGUUUUAUCUGUCUGAAACAACAUGACUGUGUGCAGUUUCCAUACUCAUUUGAAAUGUGAUGAAAUGUAGUUUUGAAUGUUUAUAGAUGUAUGGUCAUUUGCAUCAGUCAUUUGUAGAUGUAACAUUUUCUACAUCGUUUAUGUUAUAGAUGUCUUCCUUUGAAGCAAUGGUAUUAAAAGAAAUUCUUUUUUUUUUUUUCUAGCCAAGUCCUUCUCAGCAAAUCAACCUUGGCCCGUCGUCCAAUCCUCAUGCUAAACCAUCUGACUUUCACUUCUUGAAAGUGAUCGGAAAGGGCAGUUUUGGAAAGGUAAUUUCAAAUCUGAAGAUCUUUUGGUACACUUCCUUCAUGUCCUCUUUUGUAUUCUCCCUGGAUGAGGAUAGAAAAAUGAUUUUUUUAAAUUGAAAUUUCAGGUUCUUCUAGCAAGACACAAGGCAGAAGAAGUGUUCUAUGCAGUCAAAGUUUUACAGAAGAAAGCAAUCCUGAAAAAGAAAGAGGUAUGAGAUGUGCUUGAUGGGGCUGGCAUUGGCGGUAGACACUCCUUGAAUAAUCUUGAUUCUGGAAUGUUGGUGCCAAGUUGAAACAUGCCACUAAAUCUGAAUCGUCAUUUUCCUAGGAGAAGCAUAUUAUGUCGGAGCGGAAUGUUCUGUUGAAGAAUGUGAAGCACCCUUUCCUGGUGGGCCUUCACUUCUCUUUCCAGACUGCUGACAAAUUGUACUUUGUCCUAGACUACAUUAAUGGUGGAGAGGUGAGCAGGGGGGAUAGAAGUCAACUCUUAGUGUCUCUGCACAGCCUGCUUUGUUUUAGUUUGAGAAAAAAGUUUUCAAAGAUUUUUGGUGGGGAGAAUGUUACCAGAAUUAGCAUUUCCUUCAACCUGUCAGGUUUAUAGUUAAUAGAUUACUUGGGGCCACUUCCUGCAGUUGUUCUUUUGCUGUGUAUGUCAAAACUAAUUAAAUUCAUUUGCAACCCAGAAUGACUUUGUUCUGUCUCCUGCAGUUGUUCUACCAUCUCCAGAGGGAACGCUGCUUCCUGGAACCACGGGCUCGUUUCUAUGCUGCUGAAAUAGCCAGUGCCUUGGGCUACCUGCAUUCACUGAACAUCGUUUAUAGGUAAGCCUGAGAGCUCUUCAGGCUACCAGUUUUGGUAUAAAGGAGACGUAGCACUGGCUGUUUCAUAGGGCCUUAAAAUAAUUUGUGUUUAUUUGCAACUUGGUUGCCUAAAACCAGAUCCCCUAGCACGUGAGCUGGCUUGACUUAAGUGCCAAGGGGGAACCAGCCAAGUAGGAUUGUGCCUAAUCCAGAAUAGAUGAGCAGAACAAGGGCUCCCUUUUUUCUUCACUACACAACUACAGUGAACCUAAAAUGCCUCUAAUACCUUUAGCAAUUAUCUUUAAGAGGAUAUCUUAUGAAGUGAAAUUAACUUGUGCAACUACUUUUCUAUUCACUUUUUUACAGAGACUUAAAACCAGAGAAUAUUUUGCUAGAUUCACAGGGACACAUUGUCCUUACUGACUUCGGACUCUGCAAGGAGAACAUUGAACACAACAGCACAACAUCCACCUUCUGUGGCACGCCGGAGGUAGGCGCUGUCUUGGUUUGGUGCCUGGUUUACCCCCGCCUUCCAAGAGAGAGAUGUACAAUCAUGCACUUAACUACCAAAAAGAGUAAACUCCUCUCAGAGACUUCUUAAUACAGUUCAGUGCAAAUAAAAUACAUUUGCUGUUUGAUGUAGCAUGAGAAAUCCCAAGUCCUUCUGUUCCUUUACUGAAAAGUAGCUGUUUGUAAGUAAGAUCUGCAUCAUAAAAACUUUCUAAAUCCCUAAGUAAGAGAUAUCAAGUGCCCAGCAGUUUCCUAAAUGUCAGUACACAUAGGUAGCCAGUCACCCUCAAAAAGUCCAGCAGUUUUAUCAGGAAGGAAUCUAAAGAUAUCUAUCUUCCAAGCUGGCUCUGGGUCUCUCAGCUUUUUCAAACUAAAUGUGUGGUCGUGGGAUUGCUUGCUUUCGCAGGUUCUAAACGCUGUUUCCCUGGUCUGUUUUUCAGUAUCUCGCACCUGAGGUGCUUCAUAAGCAGCCUUAUGACAGGACUGUGGACUGGUGGUGCCUGGGAGCUGUCUUGUAUGAGAUGCUGUAUGGCCUGGUGAGUGGCACAUUGGGAACCAUGGAACACUGCCUGCUCCCUACAAUAUUGCCUUCACACAGCCCAUGCUUGGCCAUGGUGUCUUGCCCUUACCAGUACGCUUAUCAAAAGCAGCUAAGAGGCAUAUUGGUUAUUUUAUAGUUCAUAAGAAUAAUCACUUACCUGGUUCUUUUGUGCAUUUCACAUUUUACUAGAUAGGACCACAUUGAACCUGUGUGGUGGUGAAAAACUACCACUUAUUAACAUCUACCCCCUCACCCUCCACACACACACACACAAACACACACACGGGUUGCAAAGUAGACACUUAAAUAGCAAGGGAAAAGAAAGCAUUGAGGUGGGGAGAGUUUCUCAAAUCGAGCCUAAUAUUUAUUGCCGUUUAUAUCUUUUUCUCUACUGGUAAUGUGUGCCAUAUGAAACUUCCAAUUAAGUCUAAAGUAAUUUUCCCCUUCUUUCAGCCGCCUUUUUAUAGCCGAAACACAGCUGAAAUGUACGACAACAUUCUGAACAAGCCUCUCCAGCUGAAACCAAAUAUUACAAAUUCCGCAAGACACCUCCUGGAGGGCCUCCUGCAGAAGGACAGGACAAAGCGGCUCGGGGCCAAGGAUGACUUCGUGAGUGAUGUUUUCCUGUCCUCCUGGGCCGGCCGGGACGUGCACUAGACCUCCCUGCCCUUAUUGAAUGCACCUGUCUAAAUUAAUCUUGGGUUUCUUAUCAACAGAUGGAGAUUAAGAGUCAUGUCUUCUUCUCCUUAAUUAACUGGGAUGAUCUCAUUAAUAAGAAGAUUACUCCCCCUUUUAACCCAAAUGUGGUGAGUAUCUGUCUCUCUUCUAAGUAUAGAGAAGCCCAAAGGGCAUUUAUUUUAAUUCAGAAUUGUCUGGGGGAGGGUUGGAAGGAAUACAUUGGCAGAUGUUUUCUCCAUAAACCUGUUAUUUUACCUACAUAAAAAGCACAUUUUUGUGUCCCAACAAGGCUCCCAUAAUUUUUAGACACAUUUAUCAAUUCGAAGCACCAAAAGGCAACAAGUGAACAUUAUUCUUAUGUUUAACUGUGUGUAGCCUUUUGAGAUUUUGUGCUUGAAGUGGGUGAUUAUGGAAGUUGAUAUAAGACUUAAACUUGGUAUUUAAAGCCUGGUCAAGAUUUCCCUGUCCUGUGUCUAGUGUGAGUUCUUGACAAGAGUGUUUUUCCCUUCCCGUCACAGAGUGGGCCCAACGACCUACGGCACUUUGACCCCGAGUUUACCGAAGAGCCUGUCCCCAACUCCAUUGGCAAGUCCCCUGACAGCGUCCUCGUCACAGCCAGCGUCAAGGAAGCUGCCGAGGCUUUCCUAGGCUUUUCCUAUGCGCCUCCCACGGACUCUUUCCUCUGAACCCUGUUAGGGCUUGGUUUUAAAGGAUUUUAUGUGUGUUUCCGAAUGUUUUAGUUAGCCUUUUGGUGGAGCCGCCAGCUGACAGGACAUCUUACAAGAGAAUUUGCACAUCUCUGGAAGCUUAGCAAUCUUAUUGCACACUGUUCGCUGGAAGCUUUUUGAAGAGCACAUUCUCCUCAGUGAGCUCAUGAGGUUUUCAUUUUUAUUCUUCCUUCCAACGUGGUGCUAUCUCUGAAACGAGCGUUAGAGUGCCGCCUUAGACGGAGGCAGGAGUUUCGUUAGAAAGCGGACGCUGUUCUAAAAAAGGUCUCCUGCAGAUCUGUCUGGGCUGUGAUGACGAAUAUUAUGAAAUGUGCCUUUUCUGAAGAGAUUGUGUUAGCUCCAAAGCUUUUCCUAUCGCAGUGUUUCAGUUCUUUAUUUUCCCUUGUGGAUAUGCUGUGUGAACCGUCGUGUGAGUGUGGUAUGCCUGAUCACAGAUGGAUUUUGUUAUAAGCAUCAAUGUGACACUUGCAGGACACUACAACGUGGGACAUUGUUUGUUUCUUCCAUAUUUGGAAGAUAAAUUUAUGUGUAGACUUUUUUGUAAGAUACGGUUAAUAACUAAAAUUUAUUGAAAUGGUCUUGCAAUGACUCGUAUUCAGAUGCUUAAAGAAAGCAUUGCUGCUACAAAUAUUUCUAUUUUUAGAAAGGGUUUUUAUGGACCAAUGCCCCAGUUGUCAGUCAGAGCCGUUGGUGUUUUUCAUUGUUUAAAAUGUCACCUGUAAAAUGGGCAUUAUUUAUGUUUUUUUUUUUGCAUUCCUGAUAAUUGUAUGUAUUGUAUAAAGAACGUCUGUACAUUGGGUUAUAACACUAGUAUAUUUAAACUUACAGGCUUAUUUGUAAUGUAAACCACCAUUUUAAUGUACUGUAAUUAACAUGGUUAUAAUACGUACAAUCCUUCCCUCAUCCCAUCACACAACUUUUUUUGUGUGUGAUAAACUGAUUUUGGUUUGCAAUAAAACCUUGAAAAAUAUUUACAUA
rnacentral:lncRNA from 1 species